UCCUUCAGUCAACAUUAGGUUUUUAAACCCUAAACUGAACUCUUUCCAUUCAGUCAGCAUUAGGGUUUUAAACCCUAAACUGAACUUUUCCUUUAGUCAGCAUUAGGGUUUUAAACCCUAAACUGAACUUUUUCCAUUCAGUCAGCAUUAGGGUUUUAAACCCUAAACUGAACUUUUCCUUUAGUCAGCAUUAGGGUUUUAAACCCUAAACUGAACUCUUUCCCAUUCAGUCAGCAUUAGGGUUUUAAACCCUAAACUGAACUCUUUUCCAUUCAGUCAGUAUUAGGGUUUUAAACCCUAAACUGAACCUUUCCUCUAGUCAGCAUUAGGGUUUUAAACCCUAAACUGAACUUUUUUCCUUCAGUCAACAUUAGG
rnacentral:lncRNA from 1 species